rnacentral:rRNA from 1 species
UACAGAGGGUGCAAGCGUUGUUCGGAAUUAUUGGGCGUAAAGGGUGCGUAGGCGGUUUGGUAAGUCUGAUGUGAAAUCUAUGGGCUCAACUCAUAGUCUGCAUCGGAAACUGCCGGGCUUGAGUAUGGGAGAGGUGAGUGGAAUUCCUGGUGUAGCGGUGAAAUGCGUAGAUAUCAGGAGGAACACCUGUGGCGAAAGCGGCUCACUGGACCAUAACUGACGCUGAUGCACGAAAGCUAGGGGAGCAAACAGG